rnacentral:snoRNA from 1 species
AAGACUAUACUUCCAGGGAUCAUUUCUAUAGCGUGUUUCUAGAGAGGUUCCUGAUUGUGCAGAGCACUGGAAACCACGAGAAGGAGCCAGAGCCUCCUCUCCUGAGCGCGAAGCCGGUUCUAGGUGUUGCUUCUGUAGCUGCCUUUUACCACUGAUGCUCAUUUCUCUCUUCCUUUGGAAGAGUGAGGGGGAGAGGAUGCACUCUGAAUUG